rnacentral:lncRNA from 1 species
CGAUAAUUUUCCACAUACGAUAUACAUAUUGAUAAGAUAAACGCUCUGCUCUACUACUUAAUUUGCGCUGUCCAUGAAUCUUGGUUAUCAUCAUGCGCACAAAUGAAUGGGACAUUGUUGUCGGUAAUCUAACUAAACAACCAGCCACAGCAAUCUAACUAAACAGCCAGCCACUUGGUACUUACGCCCAGCGGCCAGCGCAUUCUGGACAACCUGAAAAAUACAAAAACACUGUCCUUUAUUAUAUACGUCAAUAAUUUUUUAACUUCCAAACCAAUUUCAUGAUGUGCAAAAUUUUUAACGACUACAGAAUGUAAGAAUUCCGAUGGAUAGAGCGGAUCAGCAUCAGCAAGAUAAUCAGUUGAUAUAAUAUCACAGCUAACAAUUAUCUUGGAACAACCAGACAUAUACGGUUAUAAAGAGAUCCACUAAUAUCAUCAAGCAUUUUAUUAGUUUCGACGGUUAGCAUAAAUGAAGAAAAACGGAUCACGUGCUAUUAAUAGUAGCAGAUAUGUUAUAUCUUUAGUGGGCAAAAUCACUAAAUUUUUAGAAUGCGCAGCCAUGAAGUAGAAGCUUUGAUCGGAGCUGAAAUUCGGUUUUGCCAACUGUAUACUGAGUGCAGAUAUUGCUGUUGCCGAUGUCCUGUACCCACUGAGCAAAUUCAGAUAGUUUCGUACAGUGCAUGGCAUCCAUUGCAUUUAGAUCAAUUAAAGGAAGGGAAAAAAGUCAUGGCGUAAAACCGUAAACUAAUGCACACAAGCAUCUCAUUAUACUAUCAUAAUAUGUAAUUCUCAGCUAGAAUUGACAUACAUGGCCAAACUUUUUCAGAUUGUGACAUCAUUUUUUCAUGUACCCAAGACUGAAAACUGAAAAGGAACUUUCAAAAAGCUACUUACAGCAAUAACUUUGUUCUCUGAAAUGUUGGUUAGUACUAAAAACAAGAAGGCGUCGUUGUCAUUGUUUGUCUAGAACAGCAGUACAUAGGAGCUUAUCAAUCUGAAGCUUGUAUGCUGAACUCACCGAUUGCAAGGAAGAGGGAGAAGCUGAUGGAGGCAGGGCUACAGGAAACUGCUGUUGCGCGGCACAGACAGGGAGAAUAAUGAUACGCACGGGUCUUGGACAGUGGACAUCUUUGCAGCAGGAGCCGGGUGUUUGGCCGACGAAGUAGUCGCUCAGCUGCGGAAGCAAUCUAUGUUAUUUCUAUACAAGAUGGGACAACAAUCUCUAAAAUGCUUAAUGAUUCGUUUCCCAUCUCUAGAGACUGUAUGGCCUAUUAGCAUGGGCCACAUAAAAAUCAAGAAGAAUAUGUACUAUAUAUUAUGCACAUAUGUCACUACAACCCAUACUGUAGUAGAAUAGAACAGGUUGAAUCCUCGGAACCAACUUAAACUAACAACUUUCACUUCAUUGACACUCAAAUGAACACUCUUUCCUCUUUGCUCAUACUGUAUAGAACUGGCCACAGCUAUCACAAAAACUCAUAGUUCAGUCAAAAAAUUGUACAAUUUAUCUUAUUUCUGUUAACUAGGGGAAAUAGUAGAAUCAAGAUACUCUACAGCCCAUAAAACUACCUCAUAUAUUAACUUGGAAAGGAAUUAACUAAGAAGUGGCCAAAAAUUAAGAGAUGUCUAAAAAGACAGUGACAUUGUGAAAGCAAGUGAUAGAUCUCUAAAAUUAGGAUGGAAUGAAAGGAACCAAGUAGUGUGACAAUUAUAAGAUAUAUAAAAAGAUAACAGUUGAUAAGCAAAUGAGAGAUCUCUGAUAAUGAUUUAUUAGCAUGAAUCUCAUAACCACACACUCAUGUUUCCCUUACGUAGGCAGCAAAAGUCUAAAUGAUUAAGAUACUAUCCUCUUAACCUAUUAAAAUUUGGAGUCACAAACAUUUUCCUACCAUCAAGUAACCUACAAAACCCACACAAAGAAGGAUCUGAUGAACUAACUUUAUUUUUUCAAACAUUCAAAUAUACAAAUAAGCCAAAAGAGAGAUAAAUUUUCAAAACUAACUUUAUCAUUCACUGAUAUACAACAAGUAGUCUAGAAAACCCAUACUUGAAUCAUUCUUAGCAAGAUAAACAUGUAGUACCUGAAGAACAUGGUACACAAAAUCCCUCUAGAACUCCAAGGUAAUGAAUCAAUCUUAUGGAUUGACUAAACCAAUCCUUUUGAUUAAAGGCAUCCUGCAUGUGCAAAGCAAAAAACAUAUCAUAAUGGGAUAUCAGCUUGAUGGAAAAAACAUACCAUAAAAUAUUUAUUUGCGAAAACGACUAUUGUACAAGAGAUAUCGGCUUGAUACGGAAUAUGAUGGAAUAAGAAUAGUAAUUACAGUGAUCUAAAACUCUUAUAUUUCUUUAAGAGGGGGUACAAAGUAAUGAUCUCAUAAGUGCGAGAGGGGAAAGAACAACACCUGAUCAUGUUGAAGUAUAAUAGUGAACUGUACAUUUACACCUCACUGAAUUUUCAGGUUUAGACAACCCGAGCUUUAUAACUGAAACAAAAACAAGAUGGUAUUGAUCCUCCUUGGAUAAAUUAAAUUCCAAUAGAGCAGAAGUUCUACUUAAGAAUCUACAAAAAUAAUUCAAUAUUGUUCUAGUAUUUAAAAAAAUUCACCAUGGAAGCUACCUCAUUAUCAACCCAUACGCAGAUUACAUAAUCAGUGCAACAUCAAGAAAGCCGAAGAUUGUGCAGAAAUUUGCAUCCACCUCUAAAUAUAGUAGAAGACCUGCAAGGAAGCGAUUACUAUUAGUAAUCUAGUAGAAAUUAUCAUCUGUCCCUACCAGAAACCUGAUUAUAUAUAAGCUAUUUGUGCAACAUAUGCACACAAAUUAGCUGCGGCUACAUUUACAUUCUAUCUUGAAACGAUUGCGAGAAAGGCUUUUAAGAUAAUGCACACACCAAAAAAAAAGUACAGUAGUUUUUUCUGCAUGAACACGAUUCCUCAAUUUUGGGCUUUUGGCUGAAAUUACAGCAUUUUCCAGUGCAGAAGUUGUCAUAUCUCUGCUCUAGAAGUGAUGUAUACGAAAAUAAGCACCAAGUAGCAGGCAAAACUAAGAAAUAUGAAAAGGAGAACCAAAGAUAUUGCUGGGUGGUACUCACUGAUUCAUGUGAAGACGAAGACAUGGGGCUGGACGGGGAGCUCGAACUUGAGAUUGAAGUACUCGCUGACUUAUGCUCCAUCUGAUCUCCAUGUCCAGCAGCCCCAGCCUGCUGCGAGCCAGCAACCUCCAAGGCUCCAACGUGUAGCCAGUAACCGCGCUGCUCUCUCGGCGCGUGGCCCGGUGACGCGCCCCGGCGGUGACGCCUCUAAGCU